UCUCUUCCUCUCUUUGAAGUUUGAAGGCUUAAGACGAAGAUUGUCUGUCAAUAUCUUUCGAGAGAAUCUGGUUUGAUGGUGUAGUCCCACGGCGAAAGUUGGCAUCAUAGCUUUGUUUUGUUUUUUGACUUUUUUCUGUUCAAAUGCAUGUAGGUAAUGUCAGGUAAAAGGAAAGGCUCUGUGAGAGAGGUAAUGUCAGGUAAAAGGAAAGGCUCUGUGAGAGAGAGAGAGAGAGAGUGAGAGAGUGUGAGAGAGAGAGAGAGAGAGAGAGAGAGUGUAAGAUGCUUUUAUUUCCUUUUCUGUAUUGAGUAUGGUCGUAUAACAGCCUUUUCAGCAAUACCCAGUUUCUGUUUUCUCCGCCUGGGCUACUCUUGGCAUCUUUUCAUCCUCGAAAUAGAUGAUUUAAGUACUAUUUGUCCACCGAUUCUGUAUUAUUUUCCUAUAGAUUAUUUAAGAGGGUUUUAGCAGAGAUGAGUGAGAUAUUGACAGUGAGGCAAGUCGAGUCUCAUGUUUGUUUGCUUCUUCAAAAUCCUUUUUAUGGCCUACAUUCCCUAAUUUUGUCUUUAAUUUAGGGGCGGGGAUCUUGUCGUUUCCCUGAGCGAGUUGGGUUUCUGGUUUUGUGAAGGAGGGUCUUCCAACAAACUGAAACCCAGAUUAUAUAGAGCCUUGAGAUUUCAGGUUUCCAAGCAUUCAGGGAUAUGGGUUCUUGAGUUCCUAGUUGUUUAAUUUUUCCUGAGGUAGAUGAUCUUUUUUCCUUUUCUAUUUGUUUCAUGUUUUCUUCCUGGUCUUUGGUUUUGUUUGGGUUGAAUCUCUGCUGCCAAAGAAAGAUCAGAUUGUGAUUGUUAACCAAUAACAUUACGGAAGAAAUCAAAAGGAAAAUUGUGGUUGUUCCUGGUCUCAGGAUGAGGGAUUUCCCUUCCUGUUUCGGUGAGAAUGGAGUUCAAGUGGCGGACUCGUCUUCAAGUACCAGCAAAGCUGCUCAGAAUAUGGUAACUUGCGUUUACCAGGGUAGAUUGCGCGGGAGGUCUUGCUUGAUCACUAUUAUAUGGAGCAAGAAUCUGAUGGGUCAAGGCCUCAGUGUUGGGAUCGACGAUUCUAGCAACCAUUGUCUCUGUAAAGUCGAUAUAAAGCCAUGGCUGUUCUCCAAGAGAAAAGGGUGCAAGAGCUUAGAGGCCGAUUCGAGUCAAAUUGAUAUAUAUUGGGAUCUCUCCUCAGCUAAAUUUGGAUCAGGGCCGGAGCCGUUGGAGGGGUUUUAUGUGGCUGUGGUCGUCGAUCGGGAGACGCUUCUCCUUCUUGGAGAUUUGAGUAAAGAGGCAUACAAGAAGACCAACUCGGCUCCUGUUCUUUCUAAUGCCAUCUUCGUCGCCAAGAGAGAGCACAUUUCCGGGAAGAGGUUCUAUGGCACCAAGGCUCAGUUCUGCGACAACGGGCAGAUCCACAACGUCACAAUUGAGUGCGAUACUGGAGGACUGAGUGACCCAUGCCUUUUGAUCCGCAUAGAUAGUAAGACGGUGAUGCAGGUGAAGCGCCUUACGUGGAAGUUCAGGGGCAACCAGACCAUCUUGGUGGACGGGCUACCUGUGGAAGUGUUCUGGGAUGUUCAUAACUGGCUCUUUGGGACAGCUAUUGGGAAUGCAGUUUUCAUGUUCCAGACAUGUCUUUCUGCUGAGAAGUUGUGGGCUGGUUUUAGUCAUACCACCACUGAUCCCACUAUAUUGCCUUUGUCCUGCUCACAGAGAUUGAAAGAUUCCCAAAGACAAGGAGCUGAGUGAGGGGUGUGAACCGUGGGUUUGACUGAAUGGAGGCAAGUCAAUCCUGGUUUAUUACAUGUAACAUUUCACAUGUUGGUUUAGAUUCCAAAGCAAUAGUGACAUAUGCCCAAAAGCUCUCACCAGGUGGGUUUCCGUCCCAAAUUAGGUAGAAAAAGCACUCGCAGAACUACUUUCAUGGAAGAAAAUUUCAUGGUUUUGGUACCAGUUGCAACUAUUAUGAAAGCUAGGCUUGCUGACCCACAUCUGAGAAAGAAGAUCUCAUGACCGGCCUGUAAAGAACAAUAAAGAUGGGAUUCACAUCUUUCCUCAAGUAAGUGCAUUCAAUGGGUUCAACUCUUGCAUAUCGACAGUUUCCCUUAUCGGUGAUGAAAUUGUCAAUGUUCAUAGUCUAACAGAUCUAUUGUGUGUCAGGCCAUAUGCCUUAUCUGCUGGGUUCUCAGCUGGAUUGUAAGUGAAAACUUUUGGAUGCUCGGCAUUGACAAUAUUUCAUGAUAUGAUCUCGUAUCUAUCUAUCUAUCCGAACGGUGAACUUCUCUAUUCCUAGCCUACUUCCCUCUUUGGAAAAGGAUUUGCCCUAUCAAAAUCAGUCUCUCGGUGUUUAUAAUUUACUUCUCCCAGCAUGGAAAUUUUCAUUUUGUUGAUUUUAGAAAUCAUUUAUUCCCAUUUGUGGGAACUGGGUGGCAGUACUGGAUAAUAUGCUGCUCUGUUGAUUUAAAUCUUGGUGUGCUAGUCUCAUAUCUUUGUAGAAUAUGGAUUAUUGUCUGAUUCUUAUUAGUGAUGUGUUAUGUAAAACUGCAAUCAAGAAGGAACUAUACACGGUACCAAGUACCAACUCUUUCUACUGCU